rnacentral:rRNA from 1 species
AGAGUUUGAUCAUGGCUCAGGAUGAACGCUAGCGAUAGGCCUAACACAUGCAAGUCGAGGGGCAGCACAUGAAGUAGCAAUACGGAUGGUGGCGACCGGCGCACGGGUGAGUAACGCGUAUGCAACCUGCCUACAACAGGGGGAUAACCCGUUGAAAGACGGACUAAUACCUCAUAAUACAAGGGUUCCGCAUGGGAAUAUUUGUUAAAGAUUAAUCGGUUGUAGAUGGGCAUGCGUUCCAUUAGCUGGUUGGAGAGGUAACGGCUCACCAAGGCAACGAUGGAUAGGGGAACUGAGAGGUUUAUCCCCCACACUGGUACUGAGACACGGACCAGACUCCUACGGGAGGCAGCAGUGAGGAAUAUUGGUCAAUGGACGCAAGUCUGAACCAGCCACGUCGCGUGAAGGAAGACGGCCCUACGGGUUGUAAACUUCCUUUGUAAGGGAAUAAAGUGAGUCACGAGUGACUUUUUGCAUGUACCUUACGAAUAAGGAUCGGCUAACUCCGUGCCAGCAGCCGCGGUAAUACGGAGGAUCCGAGCGUUAUCCGGAUUUAUUGGGUUUAAAGGGUGCGCAGGCGGGAGAUUAAGUCGGCGGUGAAAUUUUGCAGCUCAACUGUAAAGGUGCCUUCGAAACUGGUAUCCUUGAGUGUGGAUGAAGUAGGCGGAAUUUGUGGUGUAGCGGUGAAAUGCAUAGAUAUCACGAGGAACUCCGAUUGCGCAGGCAGCUUACUAAGCCAUAACUGACGCUCAGGCACGAAGGCGUGGGG